rnacentral:rRNA from 1 species
GCAAGCCUGAUGCAGCGACGCCGCGUGAGGGAUGACGGCCUUCGGGUUGUAAACCUCUGUUAGCAUCGAAGAAGCGAAAGUGACGGUAGGUGCAGAGAAAGCGCCGGCUAACUACGUGCCAGCAGCCGCGGUAAUACGUAGGGCGCGAGCGUUGUCCGGAAUUAUUGGGCGUAAAGAGCUUGUAGGCGGUUGGUCGCGUCUGCUGUGAAAGGCUGGGGCUUAACCCUGGUUUUGCAGUGGGUACGGGCUAACUAGAGUGCAGUAGGGGAGACUGGAAUUCCUGGUGUAGCGGUGGAAUGCGCAGAUAUCAGGAGGAACACCGAUGGCGAAGGCAGGUCUCUGGGCUGUAACUGACGCUGAGAAGCGAAAGCAUGGGGAGCGAACAGGAUUAGAUACCCUGGUAGUCCAUGCCGUAAACGUUGGGCACUAGGUGUGGGGGACAUUCCACGUUUUCCGCGCCGUAGCUAACGCAUUAAGUGCCCCGCCUGGGGAGUACGGCCGCAAGGCUAAAACUCAAAGAAAUUGACGGGGGCCCGCACAAGCGGCGGAGCAUGCGGAUUAAUUCGAUGCAACGCGAAGAACCUUACCAGG